rnacentral:rRNA from 1 species
GAUGAACGCUGGCGGCGUGCCUAAUACAUGCAAGUCGAGCGAACAGACGAGGAGCUUGCUCCUCUGACGUUAGCGGCGGACGGGUGAGUAACACGUGGAUAACCUACCUAUAAGACUGGGAUAACUUCGGGAAACCGGAGCUAAUACCGGAUCAUAUAUUGAACCGCUUGGUUCAAUAGUGAAAGACGGUUUUGCUGUCACUUAUAGAUGGUUCCGCGCCGCAUUAGCUAGUUGGUAAGGUAACGGCUUACCAAGGCAACGAUGCGUAGCCGACCUGAGAGGGUGAUCGGCCACACUGGAACUGAGACACGGUCCAGACUCCUACGGGAGGCAGCAGUAGGGAAUCUUCCGCAAUGGGCGAAAGCCUGACGGAGCAACGCCGCGUGAGUGAUGAAGGUCUUCGGAUCGUAAAACUCUGUUAUUAGGGAAGAACAAAUGUGUAAGUAACUAUGCACGUCUUGACGGUACCUAAUCAGAAAGCCACGGCUAACUACGUG